rnacentral:rRNA from 1 species
GCACAACGCGAAGAACCUUACCACCUUUUGACAUGCCUGGACCGCCACAGAGAUGUGGCUUUCCCUUCCGGGGACUGGGACACAGGUGCUGCAUGGCUGUCGUCAGCUCGUGUCGUGAGAUGUUCGGUUAAGUCCGGCAACGAGCGCAACCCACACUUUCAGUUGCCAGCAUUCAGUUGGGCACUCUGAAAGAACUGCCGGUGAUAAGCCGGAGGAAGGUGUGGAUGACGUCAAGUCCUCAUGGCCCUUACGGGUUGGGCUACACACGUGCUACAAUGGCAGUGACAAUGGGCUAUACCCAAAAAGCUGUCUCAGUUCGGAUUGGGGUCUGCAACUCGACCCCAUGAAGUCGGAAUCGCUAGUAAUCGCGUAACAGCAUGACGCGGUGAAUACGUUCCCGGGUCUUGUACACACCG